rnacentral:rRNA from 1 species
UGAGUACGAGAUGCUACGGCAUCGAAGCAGUCUAUGUCAUACUUCCAAGAAAAGCUUGCAAUGUCAUAAACAAAUAAUGCCUGUACCAUAACCGACACAGGUGGGUAGGUAGAGUAUACUAAGGGGCGCGAGAUAACUCUCUCUAAGGAACUCGGCAAAAUGACUCCGUAACUUCGGGAGAAGGAGUGCCUUAUUUUUAUAAGGUUGCAAUAACAAGAUCCAAGCAACUGUUUACCAAAAACGCAGGUCUCCGCUAAGUCGUAAGACGAUGUAUGGGGGCUGACGCCUGCCCAGUGCCAGAAGGUUAAAGAAGUUGGUUAGCAUUAGCGAAGCUGAUAACUGAAGCCCUGGUGAACGGCGGCCGUAACGAUAACGGUCCUAAGGUAGCGAAAUUCCUUGUCGGGUAAGUUCCGACCCGCACGAAAGGCGUAAUGAUUUGGAUACUGUCUCGGAGAGGGGCUCGGUGAAAUAGACUUGUCUGUGAAGAUGCGGACUACCUGCACCUGGACAGAAAGACCCUAUGAAGCUUUACUGUAACUUGAGAUUGAAAUUGGACUUUAUCUGCGCAGUAUAGGUGGGAGACGUUGAAAAUAUUCUUGCGGGAAUAUUGGAGUCAUCAGUGAGAUACCACUCUUAUAAUGUUAGAUUUCUAACUUUGUAUCAUUAUCUGGUCAAAGAACAGUUUCAGGCGGGCAGUUUGACUGGGGCGGUCGCCUCCCAAACGGUAACGGAGGCGCACAAAGGUUUCCUCUGAACGUGUAGAAAUCGUAUCUAGAGUGUAAAGGCAUAAGAAGCUUGACUGUGGGACCUACAAGUCGAGCAGGGACGAAAGUCGGUCUUAGUGAUCUGACGGUGCUGAUUGGAAAGGCCGUCACUCAACGGAUAAAAGUUACUCUAAGGAUAACAGGCUGAUCUCCCCCAAGAGUUCACAUCGACGGGGAGGUUUGGCACCUCGAUGUCGGCUCAUCGCAUCCUGGGGCGGUAGUACGUCCCAAGGGUUGGGCUGUUCGCCCAUGAAAGCGGUACGCGAGCUGGGUUCAGAACGUCGUGAGACAGUUCGGUCCAUAUCCGGUGUAGGCGUUAGAAUAUUGAGAGGAGCCUUCUUUAGUACGAGAGGACCGAGAAGGACAUACCUCUGGUGUACCAGUUAUCGUGCCAACGGUAAACGCUGGGUAGCCAUGUAUGGAGAGGAUAACCGCUGAAAGCAUCUAAGUGGGAAGCCCACCUCAAGAUAAGUAUUCU